GGGGUCGUGGCUCAGUGGUAGAGCACUUGCCUAGCAUGUGUGAAGCCCUGGGUUUGAUUCUCAGUGCUGUCU
rnacentral:tRNA from 1 species